GUUAAUUCUGUGCUGUACUUUUUUUCCCAUCUAUGGUGCCCUUGGUUCUGUGUUCUUUGGUUUUGGUCUUAUCUGUUUAUGGGUAAGAGAGCUUUUAUUUUUAUGCCUUAUAUUAUUCUAGUGUUUUGUUUGUUUUUCUUUGCUGCCUUAAUACUGAGCAUUCAUUGAGAUUGACUAACUUUUGAAAGCUGGUUUUUAAAUAAAAUUUAGUUUGUGAUCGUCAUUAUCAAGAUGAAGUAAAUUCUUGUCUAAGGGAGACGUCCAGAGUGUCAUGUUUGUGGAUAAUGUUGCCGUGUCAAAACCAUCUUUGCAGUUGCUAUGGAAUAUAAGCAUGUGAAGUUUUGUAUUGUUUCCACGGCUCAUUAAUUUAUUCUGUUUAAUAUUUGUUUAAUGAAAACAUGUAAACAAAAGCUGAAUUAUUUGGUGGAGGCCAAGAGUGAUUUAUACUUCUAGAACACUACUACAAAGGGUUUUUACUAUGUGAACACUACUCUACCGAGAUUAUAUUUAGAAGCAUGAGAAUGAACUUCUAAGAAAUUGUUCAGAGGUUCAAAUAUCUUGUCAAGAACCAACUAAAUGACAAAUUUAAGGCUUUGUGCUGAUUGGUUCCGAUAUAUAAACAUUUUAUCUAAAAUUGGCCACAAAAGCUCUAUGGUUUAGUCUCUAUUUUAAGACAACGUUGUUUUAUUUCUGUUAGGUAACAGUCUUCUUAUUUAACAACCAAAAUGGAAAACAUUGUCCGAUAUUAAAUUCAACUAUUCUUGGCAGUGGUUGUUAUCGUUGCUCCUUGGGAUUGAGAUUCUAUUUCAGAACAUGAUAGUGUUAGUUUAUGAUGCUGUUUGUGUGAUGUGGGUUUUGAUGUGUGCUUUGUGGAAGUUUUAGCAACAUAAUUGAGAAGAACUCCAUAAAACUAACUUAACGUCUUGUAAAUGUUUUUAUUGAUCUUUUGUGCUACAUUUUUAUGAUUUUAGGUUAGGGAUUGGUAUCUGGAUUCUUUCCGUGAUCUCAGAGCCUUCCCUGAUAUAAAGAGUAUGAACGAUGAAAGAGUUUUCACUGAAAUGAUCAAGGCCAUCAAAGUGAGACACAACAAUGUGGUUCCCACAAUGGCCUUGGGUGUUCAGCAAUUGAAGAAAGGUAUGGAUCCCAAGAUUGUUUAUGAAGAUCUUGUCGAGAUUCACCAGUUCCUUGAUCGCUUUUACAUGUCAAGAAUUGGAAUCCGUAUGCUUAUCGGUUAGUUCAGAUAACAUUGCCUUCCUUACAAGACUAUGCAGUUUUUUUGCUACUAUUUUUUCUUUUAAAUCUUUGUAGUGAAGGUUUAAAUCCUAUGCUUAUUGUAUACAUUUUUCAUUUUUUGUGGAUUUAGGGCAGCAUGUUGAGUUGCACAAUCCCAAUCCUCCACCCUUCGUCGUGGGUUACAUACAUACAAAAAUGUCUCCAGUGGAGGUGGCAUGGAAUGCCAGCGAGGAUGCUCGUGCUAUAUGUUGUCGUGAAUAUGGAAGUGCCCCAGAUGUCCAAAUUUAUGGAGAUCCCAAAUUUACCUUUCCGUGAGUUAUAUAAUCCUUACAUUCUGGAAUUUGUUUGUUUUUGUUUUCCUGACAUUCAUUUUAAAAACUUUUACACUAUCAGUUUGGCUGCUCCUUUUUGUUUUCUUUUCAAGAGCUCACAUCUUGUGUCCUUAAGCUAGAAAUGGUUAUCUCAUAAAAAUUUAUAAUUACAGUUAAGAAAUUUUGUCUAUUUUCUUUCAGUAUAUAAUUAUUGGAUGUUUCCACUACAGGUAUGUUCCAGCGCACUUGCAUCUUAUGGUAUUUGAGUUGGUUAAGAACUCACUUCGUGCUGUCCAAGAGCGUUUUAUGGAUUCUGAUAAAGUUGCACCUCCCAUUAGAAUAAUAGUUGCUGAUGGGAUAGAGGAUGUUACCAUAAAGGUGCUCAGUUAAAUUUAAUAGUUUUUGAGUGAUCUUUUGUUCUGGAAUAUUUUUGUUUCUUUUGGUAGGAUUGCUACUUGUUAUAAGCAAUUAGUCUGAGUGGCAUUUUCAGGUCUCAGAUGAGGGAGGUGGAAUUCCAAGGAGUGGUUUGCCUAAAAUUUUUACAUAUCUAUACAGUACAGCCAGAAAUCCAUUGGAUGAGCAUUCAGAUCUCGGAAUAGGUGAAAAUGUGACAAUGGCUGGAUAUGGAUAUGGGCUUCCCAUUAGUCGCCUAUAUGCUCGGUAUUUUGGAGGUGAUCUUCAAAUGAUCUCAAUGGAAGGAUAUGGUGAGUAGGCUACUACUUGUUUUCCCUUUUGCACUAGUUUUCUGCAACAUAUCCUUAUUCCUUCCACUUUUUUGUAAUUCUACUACUUAGGCACUUGAAGACUUCCCAACAUUUGUUUUUCUGGUUACUUUUUAUUUUUAUGUCCCUCAUAUCCAUUAGAACUUCUUUAAUAGUAAUAUACUGCUUUCAUAUCCAUUUGUUUUCUCCCAAGUGUUAGUUGAUCAUUACACAUUAAAACUUUAGAAGAUUUUACUUUAGUAGGGUGGUUUCUUUAUUUUCUAAAGCCUGGUGAACUCCUCAAUACCAUCUUAAAGGUCUUACUUGUAUUUGUUGAUAGAUAUAUUAUAUCACAUUUUUAUAGUGUUAUUUUUUUGUUAUCCUUCUCUAAAAUGGUCCUUUUUGCUAUUUGAUUGUCCUUGUUCUAAAAUCAACAAUCAUGUUUUAUGAUGCUGUCAUGGGUUGUUUAUUCACAGGGACUGAUGCAUAUCUCCAUUUGUCUCGUUUGGGAGAUUCACAAGAACCUUUGCCUUGAAAGCUCUUUUCAGUCAGAGUUACCUUUAAGUAACUCAGUAAUGUUGUGCUAGGGAAAACACCAUUGUUAGUAUCAAAAGGGACCAUUUUCAAAUUUUUUUUAUGUUUCAAUGACAGAUUUCUUGUAAAUGUCACAGAUAAGAUUGUGCAUGGUGAUUGCCCUUUCUUUACCUUAGGCUCAGCUUUGGAAAAUUGUCUUUUCCUUUCUAAAUGAAAAAUGAAUAUGCCCUUUUAUCCAAAAGAAUUGAUGCGUGUGGAUGAAGGUUAAAGGUACAGAAAAAUGGGCCCUUUUUUGUGUGGCCAAUAGCAAUCCAAAUAAACUGCAUUUGGUUCCCUCCAAUGCUGGACCAGAUGGGUCACUCACUAUCAGGCAAACAAGGUCACCACUCCAAUAUGAUAAGGAGAAUUAUUUAUUAUUAUUAUUAUUAUUAUGAUAGCAUUUGGUAACAUGGGACUGUGAAAAUGCAUUUUCCAAAAGUAAAAAAAGCACCUAAGUAUAAGUAAUCAGAAAAUCUAAGAAUGUUACUGCAAUAACGAGUAAAUCUAUGAAUCUCGAUUGUGAUAAAUAAUCAUUUAUGAGAUUGUAAAUCUUCUGUGAAACCAAAUAAAUUUAUUUCGAAGACUAUCUAGUGUAAAAUAACUUUAAAAGCUUAAACUUAAACUAAUUUCUCUUCAUAUCAUCUAAAACUUUAUCUUUUUUCCUGGUUUUUGACAUCAUAAAAAACGAGUUCACACAAAGAAAUCAUCACUGCCCAAAUAUUAAUAUAUAAAUAAAAAUAUUUUUUAAAACUUUAGUAUAUUGUAUAUAUUUGGCAUCCCCAAAAUUUGGGUACACUUAUAAAAAUACUUUGACACCUCCAAAAUAUUUCUCCUAAAGAUCCUUCACUUAUCACUCCCUGUUAUACAAUUUGGAUAUAGCCAACAAAGUCAUAUACAAAGAAAUAAUCUUAUUUCUAUAUCACUUCCUUAAUAUUUAAUUGAUAUAAUGAUUGAUAUUACAUUUAUAAGUUUUAGGUGUACCCUUAUGGUUUCCUCUUUCUCAUUUGUAAAGUGUAAAUGUUAUAUCUAGAGUUGUACUAACCUUAUGAUUUUGAUUUUUAUCAUAUUAGAAAACUAAGGUAAUCAUUUAUAAUUUUUAUGUGUCCUCAAAAGCUAGUUGGAUAGUUAACUAUACUUAAAAUAAUGAAAUGAAUUUAUUGCAUAAUCUUGAUAACUUACUUUUUCUUACUAAAAGGAUAAUAACAUCUUGAGUUUUAGUCAUUAGCUUUAGGUGCAAACAAUGUCAUUAGUUAUAUUAACUAACAUGCAACUCUAAUGUUAUGAAAAACAUGAAGUCCAAUUCGAUCAUUUUCCUACAAAUCUUGGCCUAUAAAUUUCACCUUCAUUGUUUGGAAAAUAAGCAUGAGUGUGCUCAAAUCUACCACAAUUGAAUUCCAUCUAAUUACAAAAAUUCAUAGUGAAAAUCCAAAAAUCAAGCAUGAUUUUUUAAGUGUGAGAGGUUAUAAAAUAGGUAGAUGUGAGUUCUAGUUGGGAAAAGACAAAAAGUUGUUUCUACAAAUGUAGUGGAAAUACAUGAUUCUAGUAAGAGAAAUAGAAUAGUUUCUCACAUGUUAUAUCUUAUUCCUUUAAGUUUCUCUUUCUUAGGAAUAGAAAUGUGUUGAUGGAGCUUGAAGCCACAUGCAAGGAGAAGUAACUUAGCUUUAGUUCAUUUUUUGUAUUUUCCCUUAUGAUGAUAGAUGAGUGGUGUUCUAAAAAUGUGUGGUGUUCUAAUGUAUAACUAUUUUAGUAUCUGAGUAGUGAAACCUUUUAAACUUAAAAAACAUUGAAACAAAAAAAUGAAACAAAUCAAAAUUACGAUUUAGCCUAUUUUCUAUUUCAUUUCUUACCAAAACAAUAAAGUGAACCUUUCAUAAAAUUAAGAAUUUUUAAAAUAAAGAAAGUAGAGUUUUACUCAUUAUUAAUUAAUGUAAUAUUCUUAGGUUUUUCUGAUUACUUAGGUGAUUUUUGUUCUGAUCUCAAGUUGGUUGGACUAGCAUCGUUAGGGUCAAUCACCGCAUCCAAGUUAUUGGUCGCUUUGGAGGUUGGUGUUCCGUCACAAUUUUGUCAUUAAAAGACACCUCGAAGGGUGAAGGGACGAUGAAGUAUAUAAACUGUCAUUGAACUCGAUUCCUGCGCGAUGUGAGACUAUAUUGACAUAUAUAUAUAUAUAUAUAUAUAUAAGAAAAUGAUAAAAAAAUGGUAAGAAGAAAAUAUAUUUUUUAAUUCUCUUAUGUGUAUUACAUCACUUCAUGCAUAGGAAAUAUACAGGAAGUUUCUCUACCCAAAUUACAAUCUAAUUAUGUAAUAUACUAAUCAUGAGAUUAUAUAAUUAUUAAAUUAAUUACAUAUAAUUGAGUACAAUAUCGUCAAAUAUUGCGUACAAUAAUUACAUAUAAUUUGAUAAUUAUUAUUUUGUUAAUAACACUUUUGCUUUUGAAAAAUGCAUUUUCAAAGUCCAUGUUACCAAAUGCUAUCAUAGUAAUAAUAAAUAAUUCUACUUAUCAUAAUGGAAUGGUGACCCUCCUCUUAGUGACCCAUAUGGUCUGCAUUGGAGGGAACCAAAUGCAGUUUAUUUGGAGGUUGAUUCUCCUGCGCCGUAUCAAUUAGAUUCACACAUACUAACAUCAAAUCUAUUUUAUCUUUAAUGAUUUAAUUUUUUUACUUAUUCAUAAAUAAAUCACAAAGUUCUGGAUAUAUAAACUAAUAUUUAUUUUUGGAUUUCAUCAUUUAGAAAUUUAUUUGAACAACAUAAAUAACCUUCCGCAUAUCAAAAUUCAUUAACAAACAUAAAUGAGUUCCGGAUAUCAAUUCUCACCACCAUUUACAGCACACCGUUUUGAAUAUAGAAAUCCAUAACUCAUAACUCAUUUUUGGAUAUGGUCAUCCAAAAACUUAAAUGAAGUACGAAAAUGACUUAUGGAUAUCGAAAUCCAUAAUAUAUAACAAUCACUUUCAGAUUUCUACUUCCGUAAGCAAAAAUGAAGUCAAAAACAAUGUUGGAUUUUAAAUUUUAAAUUUUGUGUUGGGUGCAUAUCUUAAAUGAUACGGUGCAGGGAGAAUUUGCCAUUCAUUUUUCAUUUAGAAAGGAAAGGACAAUUUUCUAAAGUUGGGCCUAAGGUAAAGAAAGGGCAAUCACCAUACAAUCUUAGGGUGUUUCUCCCUACACCCCCAACAAAAGGCUUUCUGCACCCCAUCAUUUUUGGAAAAAACCAUUUUACUCCUUUUAAAAAUGACUUUCAGACUAUUUUUUUCAGAAUAUUUUCAAAACAUAUUUUUUCAUAACACAUUUUAUAAAUUUCAGAUUUAUCAAUCCAAAUAUUAAAAAAAUGUUUUCCAGAAAAAAUAUUCUGAAAUGGUUUUUUAUCUUCCAAAUUUUAUAUUCCAAAAAUAGACUUUGUUACAGAACCCCUACCGAAAAACACCUUCCUUUACAAAACUCUUAUUCUGGAAUCAUCCAAAAUUAUUAAGAAUAAUUCUGGUAUUUCAAAGAAUGUAGGGUACGAGAAAAAAAGAGAGUAGAGGAACAGAAAAAAAUACCCACAAUCUGACAUAUUUACAAGAAUUUUGUCAUUGAAACAUAAAAAAAAUAAAAUUGACUGCAAAUAGUUCCUUUUAUACUAACAAUGGUGUUUUCCCGAGUACAAGAUUACUAUGAGUUACCGAAGGUAACUCUGUCUGAAAAGAGCUUUCAAGGCAAAGGUUCUUGUAUCUCCCAAACGAGACAAAUGGAGAUAUGAAUGAGAGUCCCGCUUAAAAAAACAAAGACACAUGAUUGUGAUUUUAGAACAAGGACACCCAAAUAGCAAAAGGGACCAUUUUAGAGAAAGAUAAAAUAACAAAAAAAUAACACUAUAAAAAAGUGAUAUUAUAUAUCUAUCAAACCCUAUAACACUAUAAAAAAAAAGUGAUAUAACAUAAGAUUUGAGAAGUGUCAAGAAAGUUGAGAGUGUUUGGAUUGGGUAUGUUAGGUGGAUGUACAAAAAAAAUUUAUUGAAAUAUGUAAGUGAUGUGAUGAUAAUUAUAGUAUUUUAAAUUAUUUUUAAUGGAGAAAAUUGUAAUAUUACAAAUUUACCCUUGUAUAUAUAAAAGAGAAAUAAAUAAUUAUUAAUUUUGUACAUAUUUUAGUUAAUUAAAAUAAUUUAAAGUUUCAUUUAUAAAUGAAAGAAAAAAUAAUGUAAAAUUCAAAUAAAUAAUUAAAUAAAUUUUUUAUUUUAAAUAUAAUUUUAUUAUUUUAUACUUUAUUAAUUUAAAUUAAUUUUCUUACUUAAGUUAAUUUUUAAGAUAUUUUUAAUAUUAUUUAUGAUUCUUUAAAUUAUGUUAUAUAUAUAUAUAUAUAUUUAUAUACAAAAUUAUUAUUAUUAAUGAUUUUCAUUAUUAUCAUUAACAAAAUCAAUAUAUUUUAAAAAGUAAAUGGGUAUUUAAAACAUAACAUGAAUAUUAACAAUGCUCUUUAACUUGCCUAUUAGGUAAUGGAACCCAAAUUCAAUUUAUGCAUAAUAGAAAUAAAAUGUUAAAAAAGUUGCAUUCAAAACAAUAUCAUUAUCUAAAUAAGUACCAAGAAAACUACCAUAAAACCUUAAUACUAAAUAACAAUUUGUCAAUGUUCAACGUGAAAAAUAAUAAUAACAAUAACAAUUCAUUAAUUUUAAACAUGAAAAAUAGAAAUAAUAAUAAUGAUGACAAUAACAUAAUGAUAAGACAAUCAAUGGUCCUGAUGACAUCGAAUGUCAGUCAGAGUAUCCUCAAUUCGGUCCAUCAUUUGAUCAACCUUGUCAAACUGGGUAUUCAUGUUUUGUAUUCCGAUCAAAAGUUGGGUUAACAAUUCGGUUUGAUUGGGGAUUGCAGGCUCAAGUUGACCACCUUGAACAUCUUCUUGUGCCAAUUGAUCCUCUUCAUCAUUUUCUUCGUCUGCCUGGUGAGGCUUACCAAGUUGUCAUACACCAUUGACCUGAAAUAUAUUUAAUUUUGUCAUACUCUUUUUUCCAAAGUAAUAAUUUCAUCCUAACAAUAUUGAUUGCUCAUUUGACAAGUCAAAGACAUACACCUGUAAGAUCCGUGUUAUCAAAAUUGCAUACGGCAAAGGCAUGUUGUUAUCCCGACAUUUCAUCAUGUGUUGCAUGAUGUAAUGAGACUAAUUAAUCAUUAUAUUAUUUUUUAUGCUCCACAACAUGAAAAUAUCUUCAUUCAAUAGUUGUGCGAAGUUGCUCCCACGAGGGCACAACAUCUGCACCCAUGUGUAAUGUAAUAGUCGGUCAUUCAUUUUCAAACUACCAACAUUUCUGAUAUUUUGACCUUGAACAUCUUUAUGAAUCAUGGACGAUAAUGUUAUGUGGUCCUCGUGCUAACCAUUUCAAUUCCUCAAUAUCACAGUCUUCUUGACCAAUUUUAGCUUUAAACCAUUUCAAGAAGGUCUUGUUAUGCUCAAUCAACAAUCAUUUCUCAUUUGCACGAGGGUUCAUUGACUUCAACAACAUCUUGUGUGUAUCUAUGUAAGGAAGAACAUCAUCAGUGUUGUUCAAAAUAUACAAAUGUGGUUGGAGAACUUCAUGUUGAUCUUUUUGAACCACCCUUACACUAAAUGAACAAUUAGAUGAACCAUGAUGUCAAAAAAUGAAGGAGGAAAAUACAUCUCUAGUUGACAUAAGAUAAUGAUAGCUUCAUUUUCUAAUUCAUCCAAGAUAUUAGGAUCAAUGAAUUUUCUACAAAUAGCAUUGAAAAAUAUGCAUAGGCAAAUGAUCACUUGUCUAACAUUUUUAUGGUAAAAUUCCACGAAUAGCAACUGUGAGAGGGUCUUUCAUGAGAACAUGACAAUUAUGAGAUUUUAAGUCCAUAAGUUUCAAAUCUUGCAUUGACACGAGGCUUUUAAUAUUUGAAGAGUAUCCUUAUGGUACAUUAAUUCCCCGCAGACACCCUUAAAAACAUAACUUUUCAAAUUUAGACAAAGUAUGACAUGCUAGAGGCAAAUAUGUUCGUUUACCAUGAGGUUGUGGUUGCAAAUACAUAACUCUGUUGCGACAACAGUGGUGGCAGUGGCGGUGUAAGUGACGUUCGCAACAGAGUUGGAAGCAACAAUGGAGACAAAGAGAAGAAAAAAAAUGUAGAGAAGCGCGAAUGAGAGUGAAGACAUGAGCAAGAAAAUAAGGUAAAUAUAUAUAUUACACCGCUUUUGAGUAAUAAACUUUUUCUUUAAUAUCUGAUAACAUAUAACACCCGUUGGAAUGUCCAACUGGUGUUAUGUAUAAUUUUUAAAAACUUUUUUUAAUCUGGGAAAUACAUAUAACAUUGGUUGCCCAUUCUAACAAGUGUUAUAUGUUAUAGAUAAAACUUUUUAUUUUUUUUUCUCUCAACAAAACAUAUCACACCCGUUCUUCUAUCCAACCAAUUUAAUAUAUUCCAAAUAUUUACAAAAAUAUCACCACAAUUUUAUUUACGCCAAUUUUCAAUUAACCGAUCACUAGUACACAAAUCUUACCAGGGUAAUGCUCUAACUAGCAAUGGUACUACAAUUUUAUGGCAUAGAUAAGAUCGUAUUAAAUAUCUUUCUAGAAAUAUUUUUUAUUUCAAAGAGGUCACCAUAAAUUAUUACCACUAAUAAUAACUUGUAUCCUUUCAUAUUUUUUUGCUAUACUUUUUACCUUAUUAUUUGUUUUCAAAAGUGUUCUGCUUUUAUUAGGGUCUUAAAAAAUUUAAAAUAAUAUUUUUCGUAUCAAUUCUCAUUUCUCAUCAUCAAUACUAAGGUGACCCGCUUAACCAGGUUCUGCAAAUUCGCAACUUGCAAAUGAAAAGGUCCAAACUUUACCCUCCAAUCCAGUUCAAGGAUAACCCAGUUUUCUUUUACUGUAAGCACCCCAAAUCACUCUUCAAUUUCCCCUUCUCUGCAAAAGGGGUGUCACUUUCUCUCUUCUCAAUUUCGGUAUGACCGUUUAUUGAAUUUUCUUUGGUUUUUGUCUUCUAUGUUUUUUGCAUUGUGUGCUUGAGUUACAUGUGGGUUGGUGUUCCAAUUCAGUCUUAGAUUUAAGGGGUCUUGCCUCCAGAACCGCGUUUUCAUGGCUUCCAAAAAGUCCUUGAUUGAGGAAGUGCAUAGAUGGGGUUGCUUGAAGCAGACAGGGGUAAAUCUGAGGUACAUGAUGGAAUUUGGGUCCAAACCCAUUGACAAGAAUUUGCUGAUUUCUGCUCAGUUUCUUCACAAAGAGCUUGCCAUUAGAAUUGCCAGAAGAGCUAUUGAGCUUGACAAUCUUCCCUAUGGGUUGUCUCAAAAGCCUGCUGUUUUGAAGGUAAACUUUUUUCUCUACAAUGCAGAAUUGUGGCUUCUUGUUAAUUCUGUGUUGUACUUUUUCCCAUCUAUUGUUUGCCCAUGGCUCUGUUUUCUUUGGUUUUUGGGGCAACUAUCAUUGUUUGGUCUUAUCUGUUUAUGGCGAAGAGAGCUUUUAUUUGUAUGUCUUAUAUUAUUCUAGUGUUUCGUUUGUUUUUCUUUGCUGCCGUAAUAUUGAGCAUUCAUUGAGAUUGACUAACUUUUGAAAGCUGGUUUUUUAAAUAAAAUUUAUUUUGUGAUCAUCAUUACCAAGAUGAAGAAUAUAAGCAUGUGAAGUUUUGUAUUGUUUCCACAGCUCAUUUAUUUAUUCUGUUUUAUAUUUGUUUAAUGAAAAUCUGUAAACAAAAGGCUGAACUUAUUUGGUGGAGGCCAUGAGUGAUUUAUACCUCUAGAACUCUGCUACAAAGGGUUUACAAUGUGAACACUGCUCUACCGAAAUUAUAUUUAGAAGCAUGAGAAUGGAACUUGUAACAAAUUGUUUAGAGGUUCAAAUAUCUGGUCAAGAACCAACUAAAUGACAAAUUUAAGGCUUUGGGCAAAUUAGUUUCGAUAUAUGAACAUUUUAUCUCCCAAUUAGCUAGAAAAGCUCUAUGGUUUAUUCACUAUUUUAAGACAACAUUGUUUUAUUUCUGUUAGGGUAACAGUCUUCUGAUUUAACAACCAAAAUUGAAAACAUUGUCUGAUAUUAAAUUCAACUAUUCUUGGCAGUGGCGUUAUCGUUGCUCCAUGAGAUUGAGCUUCUGUUUCAGAACAUGAUAAUGUUAGUUUAUGAUGCUGUUGGUGUGAUGUGGGUUUUGAUGUGUGCUUUGUGGAAGUUUUAGCAACAUAAUUGAGAAGGACUCCAUAAAAACUAACUUAACGUCUUAUAAAUGUUUUUAUUGAUCUUUUGUGCUAAAUUUUUAUGAUUUUAGGUUAGGGAUUGGUAUCUGGAUUCUUUUCGUGAUAUUAGAGCCUUCCCUGAUAUAAAGAGUAUGAAUGAUGAAAGAGUGUUCACUGAAAUGAUCAAGGCCAUCAAAGUGAGACACAACAAUGUGGUUCCCACAAUGGCCUUGGGUGUUCAGCAAUUGAAGAAAGGUAUGGAUCCAAAGAUUGUUAAUGAAGAUCUUGUCG
rnacentral:lncRNA from 1 species